rnacentral:rRNA from 1 species
GACUCUCAGUAACAAAUAUCUUGACUCUAGCAUCGAUGAAAAACAUAACAAAUUACAAUACUUUGUGUAAGUUACAAAAUUCGGUGAAUCAUCCUUUGAACGCAAGUUCCCCUACAUCGUUUUACAUGUAA